GUGUUAUGGCUGAAAGGCCGACGCCGACAGGCGGAGCGAGCAGUCAGCAGAGGCCGUAGUAGCCGCUGGUUUGGGGCGAAGGGC
rfam:Allochromatium vinosum DSM 180, complete genome.